rnacentral:lncRNA from 1 species
GCAGAAUGCUACAGCGUGAUAGAUAGGCAGAAUGCUACAGCGUGAUAGAUAGGCAGAAUGCUACAGCGUGAUAGACAGGCAGAAUGCUACAGCGUGAUAGAUAGAAUGCUACAGCGUGAUAGACAGGCAGAAUGCUACAGCGUGAUAGAUAGGCAGAAUGCUACAGCGUGAUAGAUAGACAGGCAGAAUGCUACAGCGUGAUAGACAGGCAGAAUGCUACAGCGUGAUAGACAGGCAGAAUGCUACAGCGUGGUAGACAGGCAGAAUGCUACAGCGUGGUAGAUAGAAUGCUACAGCGUGAUAGACAGGCAGAAUGCUACAGCGUGAUAGACAGGCAGAAUGCUACAGCGUGAUAGACAGGCAGAAUGCUACAGUGUGGUAGACAGGCAGAAUGCUACAGCGUGGUAGACAGGCAGAAUGCUACAGCGUGAUAGAUAGACAGGCAGAAUGCUACAGCGUGAUAGAUAGACAGGCAGAAUGCUACAGCGUGAUAGAUAGGCAGAAUGUUACAGCAUGAUAGGCAGAAUGCUACAGCGUGAUAGAUAGACAGGCAGAAUGCUACAGCGUGAUAGACAGGCAGAAUGCUACAGCGUGAUAGACAGGCAGAAUGCUACAGCGUGAUAGACAGGCAGAAUGCUACAGCGUGGUAGAUAGAAUGCUACAGCGUGAUAGACAGGCAGAAUGCUACAGCGUGAUAGACAGGCAGAAUGCUACAGCGUGAUAGACAGGCAGAAUGCUACAGCAUGAUAGACAGGCAGAAUGCUACAGCGUGAUAGACAGGCAGAAUGCUACAGCGUGAUAGAUAGUUAGGCAGAAUGCUACAGCGUGAUAGACAGGCAGAAUGCUACAGCGUGAUAGAUAGAAUGCUACAGCGUGAUAGACAGGCAGAAUGCUACAGCGUGAUAGAUAGGCAGAAUGCUACAGCGUGAUAGAUAGGCAGAAUGCUACAGCGUGAUAGAUAGGCAGAAUGCUACAGCGUGAUAGACAGGCAGAAUGCUACAGCGUGAUAGAUAGAAUGCUACAGCGUGAUAGACAGGCAGAAUGCUACAGCGUGAUAGAUAGGCAGAAUGCUACAGCGUGAUAGAUAGACAGGCAGAAUGCUACAGCGUGAUAGACAGGCAGAAUGCUACAGCGUGAUAGACAGGCAGAAUGCUACAGCGUGGUAGACAGGCAGAAUGCUACAGCGUGAUAGACAGGCAGAAUGCUACAGUGUGGUAGACAGGCAGAAUGCUACAGCGUGGUAGACAGGCAGAAUGCUACAGCGUGGUAGACAGGCAGAAUGCUACAGCGUGAUAGAUAGACAGGCAGAAUGCUACAGCGUGAUAGAUAGACAGGCAGAAUGCUACAGCGUGAUAGAUAGGCAGAAUGCUACAGCAUGGUAGAUAGAAUGCUACAGCGUGAUAGAUAGACAGGCAGAAUGCUACAGCGUGAUAGACAGGCAGAAUGGUACAGCGUGAUAGACAGGCAGAAUGCUACAGUGUGGUAGACAGGCAGAAUGCUACAGCGUGAUAGAUAGACAGGCAGAAUGCUACAGCGUGAUAGAUAGGCAGAAUGCUACAGCAUGGUAGAUAGAAUGCUACAGCGUGAUAGAUAGACAGGCAGAAUGCUACAGCGUGGUAGAUAGGCAGAAUGCUACAGCGUGAUAGACAGGCAGAAUGCUACAGCGUGAUAGAUAGGCAGAAUGCUACAGCGUGAUAGAUAGACAAGCAGAAUGCUACAGCGUGGUAGACAGGCAGAAUGCUACAGCGUGAUAGACAGGCAGAAUGCUACAGCGUGAUAGAUAGGCAGAAUGCUACAGCGUGAUAGACAGGCAGAAUGCUACAGCGUGAUAGAUAGAUAGGCAGAAUGCUACAGCGUGAUAGAUAGGCAGAAUGCUACAGCGUGAUAGAUAGAUAGGCAGAAUGCUACAGCGUGAUAGAUAGAUAGGCAGAAUGCAGAUGAGGAGUUUCGGCAAUGGUUCGGGUUCCAUUUUAAAGACGUGAAGGAAUCCCUGAAAGGGUGUAAAUUUAGAGGAUAUCGUUCUAGUGCAGUACUUGGAUGAUUUGUUUUUAGCCUCAAAAGACCAUGAUACUUACAUACGUGGCCUCACCACACCGGUUAACUAACUAUUUGGCAAAGCAGGACCAUGAAGCGUCGUAUGAAAAAAGGCCAAUUGGCAAACAGGAGGAAAUGUAUUAGGUGGUCUUGAUUUCUAAAGGCAUGACAAACAUUACUAGCACCACACAUCAACACCAUUCGUGCUCUGGCAUGACCAAACACUCCUCGAACGCUCAGACAAACCCUGGGGGGGGUUUAAUUUAAUGAGAAACCUUAAUCUGUCUUAUUCUGAAAUAGCUGAACCUCUUACAGAAUUGACGAAAAGGGAGGAGGGUUCCCCUUGAGAGAAAAGAGCGGAGUCAAGAUUGUGAGGAAGCGUUUUUGAAGAGUUAAGGAAACCGUUGUGUCAAGCGCAUGAACUGGAGUUUCCUUUUAAAAUGUUUGUGAAUGAACAACUGUUCAUUCACCUGUUCCUUCAGUUAAUCAUUUAUUAAUGUGAUGCAUUUCUUCAUCUAUUUGUUGAUGAAUUCCUUUCUGUGUUCUUCAGCUUCAUGUUAUCCUCCUCCAUACGGUGAUACCUUGGAGAAUACUGCCUCCUGGUGCUACAACAGGAGAAGUGUUGAAUGAUAAAAGCAGAGGCUUGGAACUGACAUGAAUACUGUACAAUGAUGUAUAAUGACCCUACAUGACUGACAGGGGGAGCUGUUUUGAUGCCAUGACCCUACAUGACUGACAGGGGGAGCUGUUUUGAUGCCAUGACCCUACAUGACUGACAGGGGGAGCUGUUUUGAUGCCAUGAACCUACAUUUAAAAAAUAUAUAUAUAUAUAUUUCACCUUUAUUUAACCAGGUAGGCAAGUUGAGAACAAGUUCUCAUUUACAAUUGCGACCUGGCCAAGAUAAAGCAAAGCAGUUUGACACAAACAACAACACAGAGUUACACAUGGAGUAAAACAAACAUACAGUCAAUAAUAUAUUAGAAAAAUAAGUCUAUAUACAAAGUGAGCAAAUGAGGUGAGGUAAGGGAGGUAAAGGAAAAAAAAGCCAUGGUGGCGAAGUAAAUACAAUAUAGCAACUAAAAAACACUGGAAUGGUAGAUUUGCAGUGGAAGAAAGUGCAAAGUAGAAAUAGAAAUAAUGGGGUGCAAAGGCAAAAUAAAUAAAUACAGUAGGGGAAGUGGUAGUUGUUUGGGCUAAAUUAUAGAUGGGCUAUGUACAGGUGCAGUAAUCUGUGAGCUGCUCUGACAGCUGGUGCUUAAAGCUAGUGAGGGAGAUAAGUAUUUCCAGUUUUAGAGAUUUUUGUAGUUCGUUCCAGUCAUUGGCAGCAGAGAACUGGAAGGAGAGGCGGCCGAAGGAGGAAUUGGCUUUGGGGGUGACCAGAGAGAUAUACCUGCUGGAGCGCGUGCUACGAGUGGGUGCUGCUAUGGUGACCAGUGAGCUGAGAUAAGGCGGAGCUUUACCUAGCAAAGACUUGUAGACGACCUGGAGCCAGUGGGAUUGGCGACGAGUAUGAAGCGAGGGCCAGCCAACGAGAGGGUACAGGUCGCAGUGGUGGGUAGUAUAUGGGGCUUUGGUGACAAAACGGAUGGCACUGUGAUAGACUGCAUCCAAUUUAUUGAGUAGGGUAUUGGAGGCUAUUUUGUAAAUGACAUCGCCGAAGUCGAGGAUCGGUAGGAUGGUCAGUUUUACGAGGGUAUGUUUGGCAGCAUGAGUGAAAGAUGCUUUGUUGCGAAAUAGGAAGCCAAUUCUAGAUUUAACUCUGGAUUGGAGAUGUUUGAUGUGAGUCUGGAAGGAGAGUUUAGUCUAACCAGACACCUAGGUAUUUGUAGUUGUCCACAUAUUCUAAGUCAGAACCGUCCAGAGUAGUGAUGCUGGACGGGCGGGUAGGUGCAGGCAGCGAUCGGUUGAAGAGCAUGCAUUUAGUUUUACUUGUAUUUAAGAGCAGUUGGAGGCCACGGAAGGAGAGUUGUAUGGCAUUGAAGCUCGUCUGGAGGGUAGUUAACACAGUGUCCAAAGAAGGGCCAGAAGUAUACAGAAUGGUGUCGUCUGCAUAGAGGUGGAUCAGAGACUCACCAGCAGCAAGAGCGACAUCAUUGAUGUAUACAGAGAAAAGAGUCGGCCCAAGAAUUGAACCCUGUGGCACUCCCAUAGAGACUGCCAGUGGCCCGGACAACUGGCCCUCCGAUUUGACACACUGAACUUUAUCAGAGAAGUAGUUGGUGAACCAGACGAGGCAGUCAUUAGAGAAACCAAGGCUGCUGAGUCUGCCGAUGAGGAUGUGGUGAUUGACAGAGUCGAAAGCCUUCGCCAGGUCAAUGAAUACGGCUGCACAGUACUGUUUCUUAGGACCUUGAGCGUGGCUGAGGUGCACCCAUGACCAGCUCUGAAACCAGAUUGCAUAGC